GCCACGCAGAAUCAGGAGUCAGGAGCUUCACCCAGGUCUCCCACGAGGGGCCCAAGCAGAAUCAGGAGUUAGGAGCUUCACCCAGGUCUCCCACGAGGGGCCCAAGCAGAAUCAGGAGUCAGGAGCUUCACCCAGGUCUCCCACGAGGGCGCAGGGGCCCAAGCAGAAUCAGGAGUCAGGAGCUUCACCCAGGUCUCCCACGAGGGGGCCAAGCAGAAUCAGGAGUUAGGCGCUUCACCCAGGUCUCCCACGAGGGGCCCAAGCAGAAUCAGGAGUCAGGAGCUUCACCCAGGUCUCCCACGAGGGCGCAGGGGCCCAAGCAGAAUCAGGAGUCAGGAGCUUCACCCAGGUCUCCCACGAGGGGGCCAAGCAGAAUCAGGAGUUAGGAGCUUCACCCAGGUCUCCCACGAGGGCGCAGGGGCCCACGCAGAAUCAGGAGUUAGGAGCUUCACCCAGGUCUCCCACGAGGGGGCCAAGCAGAAUCAGGAGUUAGGCGCUUCACCCAGGUCUCCCACGAGGGCGCAGGGGCCCACGCACCUGGGGCAUCUUUUGCUGCUCUCAGGCUGUAAGGUCACUGGGUCGGAAGUGGGUUCAGCCAGGACAUGGACCAGCGCCCACAAGGAUGCUGGCACCACAGGCAGCGG